rnacentral:rRNA from 1 species
GAAAGGUGAAAAGUACCCCGGAAGGGGAGUGAAAGAGAACUUGAAACCGUGUGCUUACAAGUAGUCAGAGCCCGUUAAUGGGUGAUGGCGUGCCUUUUGUAGAAUGAACCGGCGAGUUACGAUCUGAUGCAAGGUUAAGCAGCAAAUGUGGAGCCGCAGCGAAAGCGAGUCUGAAUAGGGCGUUGAGUAUUUGGUCGUAGACCCGGAAACCAGGUGAUCUACCCUUGGUCAGGUUGAAGUUCAGGUAACACUGAAUGGAGGACCGAACCGACUUACGUUGAAAAGUGAGCGGAUGAACUGAGGGUAGCGGAGAAAUUCCAAUCGAACUUGGAGAUAGCUGGUUCUCUCCGAAAUAGCUUUAGGGCUAGCCUCAAGUGAUGAUUAUUGGAGGUAGAGCACUGUUUGGACGAGGGGCCCCUCUCGGGUUACCGAAUUCAGACAAACUCCGAAUGCCAAUUAAUUUAACUUGGGAGUCAGAACAUGGGUGAUAAGGUCCGUGUUCGAAAGGGAAACAGCCCAGACCACCAGCUAAGGUCCCAAAAUAUAUGUUAAGUGGAAAAGGAUGUGGCGUUGCCCAGACAACUAGGAUGUUGGCUUAGAAGCAGCCAUCAUUUAAAGAGUGCGUAAUAGCUCACUAGUCGAGUGACACUGCGCCGAAAAUGUACCGGGGCUAAACAUAUUACCGAAGCUGUGGAUUGUCCUUUGGACAAUGGUAGGAGAGCGUUCUAAGGGCGUCGAAGCAUGAUCGCAAGGACAUGUGGAGCGCUUAGAAGUGAGAAUGCCGGUGUGAGUAGCGAAAGACGGGUGAGAAUCCCGUCCACCGAUUGACUAAGGUUUCCAGAGGAAGGCUCGUCCGCUCUGGGUUAGUCGGGUCCUAAGCUGAGGCCGACAGGCGUAGGCGAUGGAUAACAGG